rnacentral:lncRNA from 12 species
ACAACACCCCAGAUUCCUUCCAAGCACACUGAUAUAAGCUCCACAGUACCUCAGACUGGGUAAAGAACUGCCAGUCCAUGAAGAUCUUCAUAAAGUCCAAAAUAUGUUGCCUGUCUUCUGCAAACAAUGAAGUCACGAAGAAAAUUCCUUUCUACUGAAAUGCAUCAAAGGAUCCAUCCCCAUGAGCUAUCAACGCUCAUAAAGCCUCCUUUCACAGCUACCCCAGUGUCUCCUGCAGCUGUUUUGCUGCUGCUGCUAUUUCUGCAUUCA